UGGGGAAUUUUGGACAAUGGGGGCAACCCUGAUCCAGCCAUUCCGCGUGAGUGAAGAAGGCCUUCGGGUUGUAAAGCUCUUUCGGCAGGAACGAAACGGUGGCCCCUAAUACGGGUUACUAAUGACGGUACCUGAAGAAGAAGCACCGGCUAACUACGUGCCAGCAGCCGCGGUAAUACGUAGGGUGCGAGCGUUAAUCGGAAUUACUGGGCGUAAAGCGUGCGCAGGCGGUUAUGUAAGACAGGUGUGAAAUCCCCGGGCUUAACCUGGGAACUGCGCUUGUGACUGCAUAACUCGAGUGUGGCAGAGGGGGGUGGAAUUCCACGUGUAGCAGUGAAAUGCGUAGAGAUGUGGAGGAACACCGAUGGCGAAGGCAGCCCCCUGGGUCAACACUGACGCUCAUGCACGAAAGCGUGGGGAGCAAACAGG
rnacentral:rRNA from 1 species